AUUGAACGCUGGCGGCAGGCCUAACACAUGCAAGUCGAACGAGUGGCGGACGGGUGAGUAAUGUCUGGGACACUGCCCGAUGGAGGGGGUUAACUACUGGAAACGGUAGCUAAUACCGCAUAGCUUCGGAUGUGCCCAGAUGGGAUUUGCUAGUAGGUGGGGUAAAGGCUCACCUAGGCGACGAUCCCUAGCUGGUCGGAGAGGAUGACCAGCCACACUGGAACUGAGACACGGUCCAGACUCCUACGGGAGGCAGCAGUGGGGAAUAUUGGACAAUGGGCGCAAGCCUGAUGCAGCCAUGCCGCGUGUGUGAAGAAGGCCUUCGGGUUGUAAAGCACUUUCAGCGGGGAGGCGUUACCCGCAGAAGAAGCACCGGCUAACUCCGUGCCAGCAGCCGCGGUAAUAC
rnacentral:rRNA from 1 species